AUUUCACAUCACAAAGUACAACUUCUGGAUAUACUGAUCCCUCAGAGGCAUCUAAAGCCUUGGACAAGCUGUGGUCUAAGAUGGAAGAGAUGGAAAAUAGCAAUAGAAGCAAUACAGCGAUUGUCAUGGGAGAUGUUAUUGGUCUUGUUCAUGUUCAAGCCAAGAACACAGAAACAAAAGAGAUCAACAUAUGCUACUCUUCAGAUCAAGCUAUGGUUGUUGAGAAUCAAAGUGACAUGAAUACAAACUGUUCCUGGUCUACAAAGAUUUCCAGGGAAGCUUUCAAUAAAUCACGUCUUGUAAACAAUGGAACUGCAUUUGUUGGAGUUCUACGAUUCUAUAACAUGAGAAAUAAG